UUGCAAUUAUUUUAUAAUAUAUCAAUAUAUCUUAUUCUACAAAUAUCUUUUGAACAAUAAGGAAAUAUUGAUAAAUUUUACAUUAGGUUUGGUUUUGCUUGAAUUUAUUAUAAGACGAGCAUUUUGAAGAGAAAAGGGCACUACGGCUUUUGGUGAGAGCAGAGCACAUGUUUCCUGUAUAAGCCCAAAGCCCAUAGUGGAAAUAUAUUCCUAUACGAAGCGUAAUGUAACAUGCAAGUCUUCAAGGACGCCCCUGUGAUUUCCUGCUGGGGAAAUUCACCGGUUUCAAGCUGCGAGUUGAUAAGUAGUUUUGCUGCUUCAUGUAAAGGCGUGGGAUCCCUUUCAGCCUGCCCCGCAAUGAAUCAGACCCAUCAUAGCCCAUGCAGUUUGUACCAGAUUUGAUCGAUUUCCUUCAAGUUGUAUGUAUUCUAAAUUUCUGCACGAAAGGUAGCUUUCUCCCCAGCCUCCUGAUUUCUUUACUCGUUUUGAAAGCAGAAGAUCACAAGCUUUACGUACUAUUUCGCUGUUGCGGCAAGUCUUCCCAGCAGCAGCCAAACCUCUUAAUGCAAAAAAUGCAGCAUAUGUGUGGCAAAUCCCCCAAUUCCCAUACCAUGAUCCAUCGCUCUUCUGUGCAUUUUCAAUGUAAUCUGUUGCUUUAGCCACGGCAAUUUCUACUUCUUUCGUCCGGUAUCUGGAAUACAAUCUUUUAAACAAUACAAGAGCCUGGAGGAUAGAUCCAGUGCACUCAACACAUCUGGAAUUAGAAAAUAGUUAAUUUUGCGCCUUUUUUCCCUUGCGAAAUUUUAUUUUACACAUAUAUAUAUGAUGGGAAAAAGGCAGAUAUAUAUAGCUACAUACUCAAUUUCAACCACUACGCCACUAAAAGCUUCAGUAGGAUUCAACAGCUGGGAAAGGGAGACACAAGAAGUUUAAUCAUAAUAAGGAUAAUGGAAAUGUAGAUAUUGGGUUUUGUAUGAUAUAUAUAUAUACACCUCCAACCAUGGAUGAGGACUUGCUGGCUCCCAAAUUGAAAAACCACCAUUUUUGCUCUAUAAAUGACAAGACAAUAAUGUAUUGGAAAUUAUUAGGAAUAUAUGAG
rnacentral:misc_RNA from 1 species